GACGAACGCUGGCGGCGUGCUUAACACAUGCAAGUCGAACGGAAAGGCCCUGCUUUUGUGGGGUGCUCGAGUGGCGAACGGGUGAGUAACACGUGAGUAACCUGCCCUUGACUUUGGGAUAACUUCAGGAAACUGGGGCUAAUACCGGAUAGGAGCUCCUGCUGCAGGGUGGGGGUUGGAAAGUUUCGGCGGUUGGGGAUGGACUCGCGGCUUAUCAGCUUGUUGGUGGGGUAGUGGCUUACCAAGGCUUUGACGGGUAGCCGGCCUGAGAGGGUGACCGGCCACAAUAGGACUGAGGUACGGCCCAGCCGCCUACGGGAGGCAGCAGUGGGGAAUAUUGCACAAUGGGCGGAGGCCUGAUGCAGCAGCGCCGCGUGCUGGAUGACGGCCUUCGGGUUGUAAACCGCUUUCGCCUGUGACGAAGCGUGAGUGACGGUAAUGGGUAAAGAAGCACCGGCUAACUCCGUG
rnacentral:rRNA from 1 species